rnacentral:rRNA from 1 species
UACAGAGGUCUCAAGCGUUGUUCGGAUUCAUUGGGCGUAAAGGGUGUGUAGGUGGCGCGCUAAGUCGGGUGUGAAAUUUCGGAGCUUAACUCCGAAACUGCAUUCGAUACUGGCGUGCUUGAGGACUGGAGAGGAGACUGGAAUUUACGGUGUAGCAGUGAAAAUGCGUAGAUAUCGUAAGGAAGACCAGUGGCGAAGGCGGGUCUCUGGACAGUUCCUGACACUGAGACACGAAGGCCCAGGGGGAGCAAAACGGGG